rnacentral:lncRNA from 1 species
AUGUGUACAUUAUCCCUACAUUCACCACUUCCACAAUGUGAAGACACAGCAAGAAGACAGCCGUAUAUGAACCAGGACGCCAGACACCAAACCCGCAGGUGCCUUGAUCUUGCACUUCCCAGCCUGCAGAACUAUGAGAAAGAAAUGUUUGUUAAGUCAAAAAAAAAAGAAAGUGGGGACUUCGUUGCCAUCCUGGGACACAAAACCUGCGGUGCUGUCAAACCUGACUUCAAAGCAAUUCCUGGUCUGUCUUACGCUGGAAUAAACUACCCAAACGUCACAAUAAAUGUCACACUUGGAAAUUCAUCUGGAAAGAACCCCAAAUGAUUACUGCACCAGUGCACAUAAGGGUGGUAAAUGCACAAAGCAGGACACUUGAGCCCAAACAGAAAAUGGAAAUGGCGCUGAAGCGACUACUGGGCAGGAGAAAAAAGCAGAGGCAGACUGAUCAGAAGAAGGGCCAGUGCAGAGAAGGGCCUGGACACCCCACCCAGGGAUGGGUCUUUCCUCUGUGGGGCAGAGGCCUUGGUUUGGGAUGAGUCGAUGUGUCAGAGGGAGGGCGAAGACCCACGUGCCGACGGCCGGAUGGUGGGCUUCGCGAGAGCCUGGGUUCCAGCUCCUCUGCCCCCACAGGCUGGCUGAGCGACCUUGAGAGAGUUUCUGAAAUUCUCCAAGCCCUGGCAUUCUACCUGGAGAGUGGGGGUGCUGACAUUAUCGACAUACUGUCUGUCGGUGUUGUUGUGAGGGGUCAGUAAGACAGCAGAGAAAGCACUGAAGAGUGAGGUCUCCAUAAACGUUAUGAUUACUAUGCCAUGACUUGCCCGCGGUGCUUUCCAGGUAGACUAUGGAUUGGUAAGUGCUAUUAUUACCUUUUCUCCUUGGGGCAGGGACACAAUUGCCUCCUCAAAAUUCUUCCUUCUUUCUUAGCAUCAGAACCACAGUUUUGUCUAGGACAGCGAUGUGUCUGCGUCUCCAGCUUCCACGGAUGCGGAGAAGGGUUGCUAUGAUUUAUGUGGAAAACAUUGGCUGGCCUUCAAGGAAAGCUGGCUCUGCCUUGGGGGGUGUGCUGUGGAAGGUAGACACGAUGGCUGAAGCUUCUGUAGCUCUUUUGGAACCAUAAGGGAAGGAGAGAAGUUACAAGAAUCUAGAAUCCCGGAGAUCUCAGCCCGGAAAGUCUCGAGGCUCUCAAGCAAUGCCGACCACCUUCUACCUCCAAACUCACUUUCUUGAGGGACACAGGCCUUUAGGUCCCCAUUCCUUUGAGUUUGUUGUUGUUAUCUGUUACCAGACCAAAUUGUAACUUCCGUAUAUCACAUGAUGCAAAAUCCCUGAAAAAUAACCACGGCUUCAUCAUUCAAGGUAACAUUAUGGGAAAGUCUCAGUGUGGGAGGUAAACUGAGCAACUUGUUUUUGAAACAAACGGAAAACUUAACAGACUGAGAACCAACGUCCGGGUGUUGCUGUGAGGAUGGAACGAGAAGCAAGUGCACGCGCAGACCUCCUGAUAUGGUCCCAGGUGGUGAGGACGGUUCAUGGCAGCUCACCUUGAGUCCUCUCACCAAGGGAGACAGGCUGGAGAAAACCCGGCCUUGUCCUCAGAGGAGACACCAGGGACAGUCAUUUUCAUAGCUCACCAGCUGGAUUAUUAUUAUUAUUUUCCUGACCCCGUUGAGUGACAAACUCUCUACUCAGGAGGGUUUUGGCCCAGAAGCGGUUGGGAAGGCCGGGCCGGGAGAGUCAAUGGGCCUGGGGAGGCUGGACGCACGCAGGAGCAGCUUCUACUAGGAGAGAGGGCUGGACGGCAGCUGGUACCCUCUGAUGCCAUGUUUCCGGGAUGUGAGAGACAUCCUAGUUUGUACCCGAUCUGAGUUCUGAACCAAUUGUGUCCUUGCUCGGUGUCCGGGCAGGAAGUCCCCUUAGACAGGUGUGGCUGUGCCCCGUCCUGCGAGCUCAGCUCGGCGUCUCCUGAUUCUCCACCCAGAUCUGCUGGUGAAACGACCCGGCUUCACAGUGAGGGACAGGAGUGAAUUCAGCGGCUCGGUGUGAAGGUUUUGAGUGGUGGGAACAUCUAAAAGGACCUUCACCUCAAACUGAGGGGAUCAGUGAGACCACGGGUGCCUGAAACUUUCGGACGAAUGCCACUGCCAGAAACCCUGAGAGAAGUCAGAGUUUGCGUGCCAAGGAGAACUUUUUUUUUUUUUUGAGGAAGAUUAACCCUGAGCUAACAUCUGCCACCAAUUCUCCUCUUUUUGCUGAGGAAGACUGGCCCUAACCUAACAUCUGUGCCCAUCUUCCUCUAGUUUAUAUGUGGGACGCCUACCACAGCAUGGCUUGCCAAGCGAUGUCAUGUCUGCACCUGGGAUCCAAAUCAGUGAACCCUGGGCCACUGAAGCGAAAUGUGCGAACUUAACCACUUCACCACUGGGCGGCCCCAAGGAGAAAUUUUUUAUCGCUUCAGUCUGUUGUAGCAUCACACUCUUUUAAGUUAAGCCAUAAAGGAGCAAUAAAAUGUCAGAGACCAUUCCCA